rnacentral:lncRNA from 1 species
UGUCAGGAAGCAAAUGCGUAAAUAGCUAUGGCAACAAUGUUGUUGCUGCAUGAGCAGCUAACGCAAGUUAGCAGCUUCAAACAAUGCCUACUGAUGAACCCUGGAGGUCAGAACUCCGACGGGCUGAAGGCUGCUUGAGAGCCAGGCUCCUCAUUCCCACGUGUAGCUCCAGUGCUCACAGAGCGGCAAGGAGGACUCCUUACUACUUUGCUAAAAGGAGAUCAAUGGGCUUUAAAGCCCAGGAAGCAACUGGAGAGUGAAACUGGACAGAUGCUGUGACCUUGGGGACAUAAGUAAAAACAGAGGCAAUGGGGAAUGAGGGAAUGAGAGAAAUUCAUCAAGAUGCAAGCUCUUUAAAAAAAAAGUGGGGGCAGGUUGGGGGAUGCUAGGAAGCCAUGCU